GGGAAAUGUUGUGAUAGAUGCACGUUCCACAGGGAAAUAUUAUCACUUUGUAAGGCUUAUGUGACGUGCUGCUUCCCACAUUACAUUAGAAUGUGCUUUACAAACUCAUCCAAACAUCACUCUUAUUGGAGAAGAGGUUGCAUCAAAGAAAUUGACACUAAAAAAGGUUACAAAUUACAUAGCAGAUGUAAUCUGUAAACGUGCAGAUCUUGGUUAUAACUAUGGUGUUAUUCUCAUACCUGAAGGACUUAUUGAUUCCCUGAGGUAAAAAAGUGCAAAAGACGAGAAUACCCUUGUCAGGCAUUCUCAUACUAAUAAUCAU